GGGGUGUAGCUCAGCUGGUUAGAGCGCUGGCCUGUCACGCCAGAGGUCGCGGGUUCGAGUCCCGUCACUCC
rnacentral:tRNA from 1 species